AUAGCGUAUAUUAAAGUUGUUGCAGUUAAAACGCUCGUAGUUGAACUUUUGUUGUGCGAAACAGAGUUUUCUUAGGAUUAUCUCUUGUUUCUGACAACAUUUGUCUGGUUCUGCUAUAACUUAACUGUUGUAGUAGUGUCAGAAACGUUACUUUGAGUAAACUAGAGUGUUUCAAGCAGGCUUUAUGCCUUGAAUACUCCAGCAUGGAAUAAUAAGUAAGGACUCAGGUUCUUCUUGUUGGUUCAAGAGCCAGAGUAAUGAUUAAUAGGGACAGUUGGGGGCAUUCGUAUUUGGAAGCUAGAGGUGAAAUUCUUAGAUUUUCCAAAGACGAACUACUG
rnacentral:rRNA from 1 species